CGCGUCUCAAACACUGAAAUUCAUUUUUCCCCAUAUAAAAAUAUACCAGAAUGAUUUAUUUUUGCAUAAUAAGCCUCGUUUUCGUGCAGUUUAAGGCGCGGUCACUAAGUUUCGCAAUUGGUCUAUAUAUGCUUUCUAAACUGCUUAAAUUUUGCUCCCAUUAUGUUUUGCACGCUUAGAGUUUAAGGUUUAAGGUUUUAGAGUUUAAGGUUUCAAAGGACAACCUUUAUUGAAUUAGCUGUAUAUAUAUAUAUAUAUA